ACCCUCUCGAUUCACGCUUCUGUCUUACCCAAAAUACACCGUCUUCUGUUUUUUCCUUCUACCUUUCUUCUCCACUCUCCUCACCUUUCUGUCUUACCUUUCUGUCUCCACCGAUUCACGCUUCUACCUUUCUGUUUUACCUCUCUUUGGCGUCACAACUGGACUUCGAACACCGAUCAAAAAGCAGCCUCCAUCUCACGUUUUCCGUUCCUCUCCAUCGGUGAAACUGUGUUCUGUCCAUUGGAACCGCUCUUGGUAGCCCUCAAAGUGCGUUACCCUCAACGGAUAACAAUUCUCAGGGGAAAUCAUGAGAGCCGUCAGAUUACUCAAGUGUAUGGCUUUUAUGAUGAAUGCUUAAGGAAGUGAGUAUCUUAGAAUCUUGCUAUAUAAAUUUAUUUGUGUGCAGAAAUACUUUCUUUCUUAGGGUUGAGAUUGAUGCUACCUUUCUUUAUUUU